GUGCACCAGGCGAGAAACUUCACAAUGUGCGAAAGCACGAUGAGGGAAUCCCAAGUGCUUGCACGUAAGUGUAAGCUGUUUCUCUGUCUAAAACGCAGAGAGAGUAAGGGCUGGGUAAGACGGGUGCCAGCCGCCGCGGUAAUACCUGCAGCUCGAGUGGUGACCGUUAUUAUUGGGCCUAAAACGUCCGUAGCCGGUUUAAUAAAUGCCUGGGUAAAUCGGACCGCUUAACGGUUCGAAUUCCGGGUAGACUGUUAAACUUGAGACCGGGAGAAGUUAGAGGUACCCCUGGGGUAGAGGUGAAAUUCUGUAAUCCUAGGGGACCACCAGUGGCGAAGGCGUCUAACUAGAACGGGUCUGACGGUGAGGGACGAAGCCCUGGGGCGCAAACGGGAUUAGAUACCCCCGUAGU
rnacentral:rRNA from 1 species